GAUGAACGCUAGCGACAGGCUUAACACAUGCAAGUCGAGGGGCAGCGGGAGUGAAGCUUGCUUCACUCGCCGGCGACCGGCGCACUGGUGAGUAACGCGUAUGCGACCUGCCCGCGGCCGGGGGAUAAUCCAUAGAAAUGUGGUCUAAUACCCCAUAUGCCGGAUUCCCACAUGGGGAUUCGUUGAAAGGAGAGAUCCGGGCGCGGAUGGGCAUGCGUCUGAUUAGCUGGUUGGCGGGGCAACGGCCCACCAAGGCGACGAUCAGUAGGGGUUCUGAGAGGAAGGUCCCCCCANAUUGGUACUGAGACACGGACCAAACUCCUACGGGAGGCAGCAGUGAGGAAUAUUGGUCAAUGGGCGGAAGCCUGAACCAGCCAAGUCGCGUGAGGGAUGACGGUCCUACGGAUUGUAAACCUCUUUAGCCGGGGAGUAAAGUGAGCGACGUGUCGCUCAUUGAGAGUACCCGGAGAAUAAGCAUCGGCUAACUCCGUGCCAGCA
rnacentral:rRNA from 1 species